UUUCGAUGGCACGCUCAUUCCAUUCUAAGCCGCUAUGCAGGCACUAAUCAACAAAUGUUCUGUGUAUCGAAGAAACUUUUCGGAAGAUUAAAACGAAGUGCCAUAAAUUCUAAAGAGUAAAUGUAGAUAACAUUUUGCCAAGGAUAUUUAUACAUUUUUCAAAGAAGAGUAUGAACACGUCCCAGUGAUGAACAUAUGUGACGACUUGAAAUUGAACAAGUUUUAUUUAAAUUACGAGACACAAGCUGGCCUAAUCGACGCACAAUGGAUUGCCAUCGACGGAAGAAAAAGCUGCGUAACAGGGAUUGUGUAUUAAUAAAAGUUACAGAUGGCAUCGACGUCGAAGACAAUCGAAAUGUCUUUGUUUCCCAAUGAUUCACCAACUCUGACCACCAACUAUUUGGAAUGAUAAAUCUAUUUGCAGCAGUUCUACUUUGCAUAAGCGAUAAUAUUUAAAAUAAUAUCGUGGAAAUGUGGUAUAUACGCAUAGUAUGUUGUCUCACGCGCGCUGACAAU